CGGUGGAGCAUGUGGUUUAAUUCGACGAUACGCGAAGAACCUUACCUGGCCUUGACAUACUAAAAAGCUUUAAGAGAUUAGAGUGUGCUAGCUUGCUAGAAUUUAGAUACAGGUGCUGCACGGCUGUCGUCAGCUCGUGUCGUGAGAUGUUGGGUUAAGUCCCGCAACGAGCGCAACCUCGUGUUUAGUUGCUAACAGUUCGGCUGAGAACUCUAAACAGACUGCCUACGCAAGUAGGAGGAAGGUGAGGACGACGUCAAGUCAUCAUGGCCCUUACGGCCAGGGCUACACACGUGCUACAAUGGGGUAUACAAAGAGCAGCGAUACGGUGACGUGGAGCAAAUCUAGAAAAUGCCUCUCAGUUCGGAUUGUAGUCUGCAACUCGACUACAUGAAGUUGGAAUCGCUAGUAAUCGUAGAUCAGCAAUGCUACGGUGAAUACGUUCUCGGGUCUU
rnacentral:rRNA from 1 species